GCUGCAUGGACUUCACAGACUCAAAGGAAAACACAUGGAAGAGGAGUUGAAAGACAAAGGUUGCUGCUAGGUGUUAGAUAUAAAAGUCUAGAAAGAAUCUUGUGAGAACCAAGAGGUGGGUCUGAAUCAGCCACAGAAAAGCCACAAGUUGUUUGUCUGAAUAUCUGCCGGCCUUAUGCUGGCAACUGCAGGAAGCAGAAGAGGAGACCAUGCCUGCAUCACUGAUCAUCGCACCACUUAAACCCACAACACAGGUGCCAUGCUUGAGUUGGACCAUCCCUCUCCCUCGGAUCCCUGCCCCCUCCAAAUGACUGGACCACCACGCUGAUGCACUGCUUGCAGUGACAGCUGUAUCUGACAGUUUUCUUUACUGCCUGUCUGAAGCU